UACAGAGGGUGCAAGCGUUAAUCGGAAUUACUGGGCGUAAAGCGCACGUAGGCGGUUGUUUAAGUUGGAUGUGAAAGCCCCGGGCUCAACCUGGGAAUUGCAUUCAAAACUGGACAACUAGAGUGUGUGAGAGGGGGGUAGAAUUCCAAGUGUAGCGGUGAAAUGCGUAGAGAUUUGGAGGAAUACCAGUGGCGAAGGCGGCCCCCUGGCACAACACUGACGCUCAGGUGCGAAAGCGUGGGGAGCAAACAGG
rnacentral:rRNA from 1 species